CCCCAAAAACCUAAGGGUUCCUCUGCAAGGUUCAUCCAAGGAGGGUGAGUCAGGGCCUAAGAUCAAGCCGAAAGGCAUAGUCUAUGGACAACAGGUGAAUAUUCUUGUACUACCCCUUGUUGGUCCCGAGGGACAGAGGAGGCUAGGUUAGCCGAAAGAUAGUUAUCGGUUUAAGAAUGUAAGAUGUCCCUAUUUUUUUUAAGGGUAAGAAGGGGUAGAGAAAAUGCCUCGAGCCAAUGUUCGAAUACCAGGCACUACAACGCAUAAGUAACCCAUGCCAUACUCCUAAGAAAAACUCGAACAACUUUGAACAAAAGGGUACAUGUACCCAAAACCGACACAGGCAGGUAGGUAGAGAAUACCUAGGGGCGCGAGACAACUCACUCUAAGGAACUCGGCAAAAUAUCCCCAUAACUUUGAAAGAAGGGUUGCCUCCUCACAAAGGGGGUCAUAGUAACCAGGCCCGGGUGACUGUUUACGGAAAACACAUGUCUCCGCAAAGUCGUAAAACUAUGUAUGGGGCUGAAGCCUGCCUAAUACGGUAGGUCAAGGAAAUUGGUGACUUAAAGAUAGGGAAGCCGACGAUCGAAGCCUUGGUGAACAACGGUCGUAACUAUAACGGUCCUAAGGUAGCAAAUUUUCUUAUCGGGUAAGUUUCAACCUAUACAAAAGGCAUAACGAUAUGGGCACUAUCUUGGAGAGAGGCUCAGUAAGAUACACUUGUCUGUAAAGAUGUAGACUACCUGCACCUGGACAGAAAGACCUUAUGAAGCUUUCUAUUUCUUGGGAUUGGCUUUGGGCCUUUCCUACGCAGCUUGGAUGGAAGGCGAAGAAGGCCUCCUUUUGGGGGGGGGGGGGGGAUCAAUGAGAUACUACUCUGAAAGGUCUAGAAUUAUAACCUUAUGUCAGGACCUACGUACCAAGGGACAGUCUCAGAUAGACAGUUUCUAUAGGGCACAGGCAUCCCAAAAGGUAACAGAGGCAUGCAAAGGUUUCUUCGGAUUGGACGGAGAUUGGCCCUCGAGUGCAAAGGCAGAAUAGAGCUUGAUUGUAAGACCCACCCGUUGAGCAAGGACAAAAGUCAGCCUUAGUGAUCCGGCGAUGCCGAGUGGAAGGGCUGUCACUCAACAGAUAAAAGUUACUCUAUGGAUAACAUGUUGAUCUUCCCCAAGAGCUCACAUCGCCGGGAAGUUUUGGCACCGCGAUAUCGGCUCUUCACUACCUGGGGCUGGAGUAUGUUCUAAGGAUUGGGUUGUUCGCCCAUCAAAGCAGUACGUGAGCUAAGUUCAGAACGUCGUGAGACAGUUCGGGUAUGUGAAUCUUUUUACU
rnacentral:ncRNA from 1 species